rnacentral:rRNA from 1 species
GACGAACGCUGGCGGCGUGCUUAACACAUGCAAGUCGAACGGGCCUUGUCCCCUUUUUUUUUGGGGGUGGGGUUAGUGGCGAACGGGUGAGUAACACGUGAGUAACCUGCCCCUCACUUCUGGAUAACCGCUUGAAAGGGUGGCUAAUACGGGGUGUUCUGGCCUGCUCGCAUGGGUGGGUUUGGAAAGAUUCGACCGGUUUUGGUUGUUUUGGUGGGGGAUGGGCUCGCGGCCUAUCAGCUUGUUGGUGGGGUGAUGGCCUGCCAAGGCUUUGACGGGUAGCCGGCCUGAGAGGGUGGGCGGUCACACUGGGACUGAGACACGGCCCAGACUCCUACGGGAGGCAGCAGUGGGGAAUAUUGCACAAUGGGCGCAAGCCUGAUGCAGCGACGCCGCGUGAGGGAUGGAGGCCUUCGGGUUGUGAACCUCUUUCGCCAGUGAAGAAGGUCCUGCUCUUUGUGGUGGGGUUGACGGUAGCUGGGUUAAUGAAGCGCCGGCUAACUACGU